rnacentral:lncRNA from 1 species
UUUGUCAUUAUAGUGGUGCAAUUAUUAUUACAGAGAAUAUAGUAGUACAGACAGACAUUGAUUUAUAAGGACAUGUCAGACAUCUGGCAUCUGUCUUGAGUUGCUUAUCUGGUGAAUGUCUGUUACAGUUUUCUGUGUUAUUGGAAGGUUGUUUAUAUGAUGUUUAAGAUUUCUUUAGAAAUGGGUUCACGUGAUAUUUGAGGAUGUAUUAGAUGAAACUUGGCUACUGAUGGCUUAUAGAGGAUGUUUUUAAAGAACCGCCACAAAACGCCGAAGUGGGUGUGCUGGCAUUCCAAAUGUGGUGCGCUUCAGUUAGUGGUAGUACCUAAGGUUAUCAACAUUGUAAUUUUACAUUUAAGGUCACACUGUCUUAUUAUUAUUAUUAUUAUUUACGACCGACAUUCUUGGUCGCAUGUUGUGUAACUGUUGAGAUUGAUUAGGUAACAUUGCCAAGCAACAUCAGAAGUACAUAAUUUGGGUUCUGGUGUGCUACCACUUAAGUGGUGGAUCGAACCAAAUUGGGAAAGAAAAACUAAGGUCUGCCCAAACCCUAAACUCUCACUCAACCUCAUUUCUUCAUUUCACUUCUGUGAUUC